AAUGAAAAUUUCAUAAACAGUUUAAUUGCAUCUCAACAGCACUCUUCAUACAGAGGUAUCGUCUUCUCUGUUGAAGCCCCAGCCUCUUCCACCACCGCGAUUUUCUUCCGGGAGAAUUCGCAGCAUACCUCCACCUUCCAGAUCUACGAACUUGCGGAUUCGUAGCGUUUUAGCUGCUCGUUCUAUCCCCACUCGCUAGCGUCCUCCGCGUCUUCCCUUUCCCAUCAGGAAAAAAUGCCUCUCCGGCUAGAAAUCAAGAGAAAAUUCGCUCAAAGGUCGGAAAGAGU